CGACGAGAGGAGUGCCUCGUGUUUUUUUUUUUUUCCUCUUUCCACCGCUCCCAGUGAGAGGCCUCAUUUUGUGGCGACUCCCGGAGGGAAGUGUGAAAUCUAAUAAAGCCAUUCUCAGGAGGGGUGGCUUUGAUCAGAGAUUCUCUAAACAAGCAGCAAGUCCCAUGAGAACAAAAGGCGGCCUGGAGGCAACCUAUUGUA